GUCCCCCACAGCAUCGAGCCAAGUCAUUUAAAAAGGAUUUAGGCCACUGCCUUUUUCUGAGGGAGGAGCGGCCAGCAUGUGCCCCGCGGCUCACUGGGCCUGUCUAAUCACACAGCAGUGGCAAAAGGAGUAUCUGCCAGACGCUUCCUAUCACUCUAUUCUGUCUCCUCAUCCACCUGAAGUUCACCCCGUUUCCCCAAUGACUUAGAAUGGCUUUGUGCUUAGUUUUAAUUGUAGUUUGUGCUAUUCUGUGAAUUAACAAUUCAAACAAAAUAAGAAAGCCAUGUUGUUAAACAGUAGAGGAGCCAGGGACUCUGUCUCCAUUCUCUCAUCACACACAAGUCAUGCAUCUACCAAAAAAAAAAAAACAAAAAAACACAACAACAAAAAAACUGUCCUCUGAGGAGGCACAGGUGUGACAGAUAAGGAACCUGCAGCUCAGAUUCAACAG
rnacentral:lncRNA from 1 species